rnacentral:lncRNA from 1 species
UCUAGAUAGAAUGAUAGAUCUAUUGUUAGUUCUUUGAGAAAUCAAGAUUCUUCUUGGUUCUUAUGUUGAGAGCCUAUUGGUCAGUGCUGAGGUUGUGGAGUUGAAGGCAGCCUAAAUUCUCCUUGGUAGACCUCUUCUCUAGCUCCUGCUUAGUUCUGAAGCACAAUGCAUAGAGGGCCAGUGUGGAAGGCAUUCUAUCUUUAGUUUCAGAGUGAAAAUCUCCUAUUAAUCUUGACCGCACAUCUGCUUCUUGGCUACGAAUCCAUUUCUUCUCAUACAUUCACUAUGGUCCUUUCAGGGAAUUGAAAUUCAAUUUAGUGAAGGAAGCUUUGAUCUAGUGUUCCCGUGAUUGGAGAGAAAUAGGAGAAAAAUCUCUGUUCAAGACCAGGUAUAUAACAGCUUUGCAACUUGGUUGGCAGAAAAGGGUGAAUCAGGAUAAAUGUACAUGUUUGAAAAUAACAGCUCUCAGAGAACAACAGCAAUAGUAAUAGCCGACCCAGCGAAUGUGAUGUCCAGAUCCAUUUGGCCACUCUGUCGCCCCCUCCCUGCAGCCUUAGCCACUUUCCCCAGGAAGCUCCCUGGGGCUGGGUCUUACUGAGCAGACAUGUAAGGGCCCUGGCUUCUCAGAGAAGCAUGGUCACAGUACUCAGAAGGACCAAGAAGUAGGGCUCUGUGAGGUGAACUAUGACCAUUAGAAAUGGGAGAUGCAAAGGAGGCAGGAGAUAUACUGCCGUCUUUUCCUUCCUAAGGGAUUGUUCUUAGAUGCAGUAGUUCUGUGUGGCCUCUCUGGAGAGGACUUGUGGAAUGAACAACCAGCAGAGUUUUCUUGUGAAGCUGUGGCCAUCCCAUUAUCACGUGAUUUUGGACCUUUCUCUCCCUCCUUGUUUCCCUUCCUUUCCACCUCAUUCUUGUUUCCUGGGAUUUCACCUACCUCCUUCCCCUUAUUAAGGGUUAUCACAUGAGCUCUGCCUCAGUUUUCCAGGGAACCUAGGCUAAGGAAGUAAGAAUACUGAGUUUUGCUAAGUGCCAGGCAUCCUUCUUAGUGUGAUAUGGGUAUUAAAUCAUUUAUUCUCCAUAGUAACACCACGAAGUAGGUAGUAUUAUUAUCUCCACCUUACAGAUGAAGAAAGUGAAACCCAGACAAUGUAGAUGACUUGCCCGAGGUCACUAUGCUAGGAAGUCUUAGACCCAAAAGCCAGAUCAGAUAUUCUGGCUCCUGAAUCUGUGCUCCUGCCUCCUGAAGAAUGGCCAUUGUCAGAGCAUUCGCUAAAAUUUCCACGUUUCCAGCACCAUGUGGACUGGCAGCUGAGAGAACUUUGCUAAUGAAUAAAGGAGAAGGGUUACUCCUUUGUGAAAUGAGACUCUUAACACCCUCUGCCAUAAAAGACCACCAUUUGUUGAGUAUCCAUUGUUGCAGAAUGGAUUCUGAAAAUGAAUCUAUUCAUAGAUUUUUUUUUUGUUUUUAUAGUUUGAUUGUUGACUGUCAGUUCUGACUGUUGACGAAGGCUCCCAGAGAGCAUGGGCCUUUCUCUUUCCUAUCUUAAACACACAACAUUACACCAGAUGUUGAUAAGCUCUAUGAUCUACUAAUGUUCUAGCUCAAAACAUCAAGAAGAAGCUUGUGGCUGGGUGUGUGGCCUUGAGUGAAAUCUGGGGAGAAAGGUGAACCAGGAGAGAAAAUAUUCUACCAGCUAGCCUGCUAGAAAUGCAAGCCUUCCUCACAUGGGUCUAUGAACACCUAAUAUCCUAUUCCCAUAAGGAUCCACAGGCACACUGGAAGUCCAUGAAGAGCCUAAAAUCUAUAAAAAUGUGAGUAGGUCAGUAUCUGCACUUCCUUUUCAGUCAGGGGAAGACAUAUAGAUUACAUCAGAUUCUUGAAACUGUUACUAUUAUGGAUAGAAAACUAAAACUUGAGGCCUGGCAUUAUUUUUUUCUGGUGGCCUUGUGUAAGUCAUUUAACAAACAGGAUCUCAGUUUCCUCAUAUGGAAAUAGAACAUGGUACUUCCCAAUGGCCAAGGUUGUUGUGAAGAUCAGAUGAGAUGCAAAAUGCCAGUAGAGGAAUGGUGUAAUCUCUAAAGUAUCUUACCAAUGUGGGCUAGAUGAUCAUUGUCAUUCCCCAUCCUCCGAGCCUGAGACCAUAAGAUACAGAAGGAAGACUCUGACAGUGACUAAGUACAUAUGUCUUAGGUUUGGUUCAUCCAGAUGUUGAUCUUGGGAAGAGGAUUUGAAGGUGAGUAGUUUAUUUGGGGUGUGAUGUCAGGAUGAAUUGGUAGAGGAGUGUUUGGGUGAGAGGGGAAGGAAGGAAGGAAGCCUAUCAGCAUGUGAUCAUAAGCAGGUUGCUUCUGUGAGCAACUAGGACUCAGUCCCAGAGUAUAAAAAAUGCCUUCCAGUUGUCUGACUUGAGGGCCAAGCAUGCUCCUGCAGCCAGAGAAGCUUUCAGGCAAAGAGUCACAGGUGCUUGCACUAGGAGGCCAUCUGCAUGUACUAGGGUGGCAAGUGCCAAGAGGAAGCAUGGGUGGGACAUUGACAGCCAACCGUGUCUGCUACAGUGAAUUGUAAGCUAGAUACGGUCAUGUGCAUUAUCUAUAUUAACUUCUAAGUCAGUGGUUCCCAAACAUAGCUUCUCACCAGAAUUACCAGGGAAGUGUAAAAAAUGUCAGACUUUGAGACCCAUAUUUGGGAAAUUUUAAAUUCAGAAUGUCUAGGGCAAGGUCUAAGAAUUGACUUUUUUUUUUUUUUUUCAAAGGCUCUAUAGGUAAUGCUGAUUACCAGUCAGUUUGGGGGAAACAUGAUACUUAAACCAUUCAAUGCAGGCAUUUUAAGGAAAUCGAUCUUGGUGUGUUCAGUAUUUUAUACAAAGUUACAUCUAUAUUGGGGUGGAAGUAAGGUUCCAACCCAGUGCUCAUCUCUUUACUUCAAGGUCACACUGCCUCUUCAGGGACCUGUUUCUCUUGCAGAGGCCAGGACCACAUCUCUUAAACCCCAAGGGAAAGGGUGGGAUGCCUGCAUUAUGAAGUGUGGAGCCCUGAGCCUGCUCCUGCCAGUCAUAUGGACUGCCUACUAAUAGAAGGAGUCUUCUCAGCGGACUUUCAACACACUUCUUUUCCACCUUGUUCUCUGCAGUGGCCAGAUUCUUACCAUGCCAUGCCUGGAUCAUUGAAACUUCCUCCUCACCCACCUCCCUGCCUCAGUCCUCACUUCCUCUAGUCCCAUGUCUCACUGCAACACACCCUGCAUCACCACCCUCUUUCUCAGAUGGACAGGGCUCCCCACUCCUGAUCUGUAAAAUGGAGUCGAAAGCUCUUGGCAGGGUAUAAAGUCCUGCAUGACCCAGUUUCAUUCUGUCUUGUAUCUCUUGUAGGAUGUAUUAGUCAGCCUACAGGGAGGAGAACAGGAACCUCUCUAUGUAUUUGAACAGCGAAAAUAUGGAACCAAUUAGCCUGGUAUUGCAGGACUGAAAAUAUGAAAAGGUGACACCAAGGUAUACAAAGGUUUAACCACAGAAGGAGCUAUUGAUCCUAAAGCUGGAGGGUCAAAAAGCAGAGAUUGGAAUUAUUAGAACCUAGAAACUUAGAGAGCUGUGGAGAUAUGGCUGAGAUUUCUGAGGAGGGAGAAGUACUAGACAGCUGCUAGUAACUCAGGGCUCAGAGGAGGGUUCUCUCAGGGGAGGUUCUCAUACCUCUAAGGAGAAGAGGGGUUACUCAACUUCUGCUGGGAUUCAGAAGUUUGGAGAAAGCCCCUUGUGGAACUGGGCUUAGACCUCUAAUGAGAGGGAGCCCCCCUGCCAUGGCUUGCACUUGUAUGAGAGGUCCCGUAAGGCUGGGAGUCCAUGAUCCUAGAGGUUGGGACACUUGCAGCUGCCAGGAUGAAGAGCCAUUACUGGGGCAAUGCUGAUGGGAAGCACAGCCAGCAGGUAGGGGCUCCCUCUCUAGAGCCAGCUCCUUGUGGGUCCUAACAGGCAGCCAGCUCCAAAGGAGGCCCCAGCCCUAGCACCACACAGCUGGGUAGAGAAGGGCGAGGAGGAGCUGAGGGGACAACACCUUAAUAACUGGCACAACACCUGCAGUGUUAGAGUCACCAAAGAUGCUUGGCCCUUAUGCAUCUCAACUCUUUGGCGAAGGCUAUCCUCUCUCUUUGGAAUUUUCUUCCCAUCCAAAGGUUGUUUGGCUCCCGUCAGCACUCAAAUGUCUCCUCCUGUGAAGCCUUCCACGUCUGCCCCUAUUUCUAAAUCCCCAAGCCAGAAAAACACCCUUUUCAUAUCCAGUUUCCCCUGGCAUUCAUGAAAUGAUCACAUUUUAUAAUAAUUACUUGCUUCAGGUCUGUAUCUUCUAUUUGACCAUGAACUUGUCAAGGGAAAGAUGUUGCUUUAUUUAUCUUGAUGUCUUCAAUAGUUCAAUAAGUGUGUAUCAAACAGCAAAAGCCCAGAUGUCUGAAUGAAGCCAGAAUGCAGGGGGCAGGUGCAGAUUGCCUGCCUGCAGAGCACAAAGCCCAGAGGAGUCCACAGCUCCAGGAGAGGUUGGUGGGAGGCUGCCCUCCCUCCCUUUCAAUCAUAGUAGAAAACCAGGGAAACAAAAACAUAAAACAAACAUUGUUUCUGGGAAUGUUUUAGAAUGUAGAAAUAGCAUUAGAUUUCUAACUUCACAUACUUUUGGCCAAAGGAAAGUCGAGAAUUGGACUCAAACGUCUCCUGUGUGUGAAGCCUUCCAGGGACCAUUCAGCACAACUCACUUCCCUAUUUCUCCCACUUCUCCACCCUUCUCUUAUUUCUGCAGAACCUUGGCUGCUUACCCAUAGCAAUUACUUCCUGCUGAGGUCUUCAGUAAUAUUGGUUUGAGGUUCUGAAGUGUAUUUUGAUGGGAAUUCCCAAUGGCUGGCAGUCCUUCUAGAAUCUGAGGUCUCAUAUGGGCUCACGUGCUCUGCUUGAGCUCCUCUUUCCUGUGUCACCAUCUAAAAAGUAUCCUUGGUCAGAAAGCUUAAUACCUCCUCUGAAGACUGAUAAUAUACAUCAUCUUCCUGGACCAGUCUACAAGUGAGGGACAGUGAAUAUUUUGAAUGGCAGCUUUUAGAUAACAAAUCCUCAAAGAGAGAUAGAGUCUUACUCAUCUCUAACAUGUGCUUGACUGUGGAAGACUGCCAAUUAAUAAUGAUUGAGUGAUUUG